UUUAAAAAUUUAAAGACGAAAUUACUAUUUUAACGAAAGCAAAAGUGAGUAAAUGUGAUUUUUAACCUUCAAUUUAUUUGGUUUUUUUUGACAAGUAACCUUAAAAAGUUAAUCAAAUUUGAAAUUAAUUACAUUCAACGAUCUAAAAUUGAUAGUAUAAAAAUACCAAUCCAUUGAAUUAACCGCCAUUUUUCAAUCAAUAUGCUUCUUCAACUGCUGCAUGUAAACCCUAACACACUGCAUUUCAUUCGCCGCAUUCCAAUCCGCGAUCGGCGGCAGUAUCUCUUCAAUCAACUCCGAUGAAAAUGAAACUCAAGGAAAAGUAAUGAACAAAUUAGACAUUUCAUUAUGGCUUGAUUGGAAUCCUAUCUGAGUGUGGUGGACCUGGUGGUGAUAGAACUUGAUCAUUAAAUUGUGAGCGGCAAUGGUAAGGUGGGACAGAUGGAAAAAACACAAUUUCUUUGGGCCACCGACAACCAUACAACACUCAUACAGAUUAUAGACAGAUAUCCUCAUAAAAUUCUUGAAGAAACAUGCUUUACAGAUAAGGAUACAGAGUAACAACCACAUGGAGCAAGUAAGUUAUUUUUAAUUUUUACUUAGCAGCUUUAUUCUUUGCUACUUUCAAGGAAACAGAGAAAAAUAACCCUUCAAAAUCAGUAACCCUGGUACAAAUAUAUAUACACACGCACACCCAUACACACAGAUAAUAAACUAUUGCAGCAUAUGCACAUAAGGAAAAAGGCAUUUAAACUUUUUUGUUUGUUUUUUAUUUUUUUUGCUAAAUACUUGAAGCAAUGAUAGAAAGGACUUUCAACAUUUAGCCACCUCAUAGGAUAGGUCUGAAUCAUCAGUUUGUUGUGUGGUCUACAAUUGAUAUAGGCUCUUGAUGAGUACACAUUGGGGACAUAGUGAUAAAAACUUAGCUUAGCAUUGAAGGUUUGCCUGUUUUUCAUUAUUGCUUCUUUGAGAUGGGAUAUUGACUUUUUUUACACUGAGAUUUACUGAAAACCGGAAACUUCUUUCCUUUCAAUAAUGAAUCAAAUAAUGGAUAAUGAAGGUCAAUGAACCAAGCUGGAGUCUGAAUUAACAACAUUUGUGAAAGAAUAGAAUCUUCUUGGAUAAAAUAAUAUAAGAAAAGGGAAGAAAAAAAAAGCAAUUGGGUUUAGAUUAUUAUAUGAAAGGAGUUGUCAUCUUUCUUUUGUUAUAGGCAACAUGGUAUAGAGUAGAGUCUAUAUCAAGUACAGUUGGAUUUUCCUUUCUCCGUUAAAACUCUAAUCCCACUUUUCUUUUUCUUUUUCUUUUUUGAAAAAACAUGAAAAAUAAUUGAAAUGGGGUUGUGUUGAAGAGAUUUGGACUGGGAUAGAGAUAGAGAUAGAGAUAGAGAUAGAGAUUGGAUUAUGAAGGAGUAGGUGAUGGCCAUCCACACAUUUAAUCCCUAUCUAUAGAAUUGACAGUUUGAUAAUACUAUUCUCUUGUUUCUUCUCUCUAUCAGAUUGUACAUUAUAGGGUGAGAACUUGCAGCCUUUUAACACGAAACAAAGACAUCUUAACCACAACAAAUACUUAAGAUUUCUUAUAAGAAGCCAAAGAAUAAAGUACAUGCGUAAUUUGCAGCUACACAUGCUCAAAAUCAAAUUUAUUAUAUCCCUAAUUUUAGGGUAUACAUCCAUUAAACUCCAAACUUAUAAUAUAAGUGUAUAAUUGGUGGACGAUGGUGUAGAUUUUAUUUUGGGAAGCUGCUUUUCAUAGUUAAGUUGCUUACUUAAUUAAAUUAUGCUCUCUUAUUACUUCUUUCACAAUGUCUAAUUACAUACAUACAACUUAAAAAUGAACAAUGAUACAAACAAAUUAUACAAAUCCCAAAAGAAGAUCAAGAAAAACAACAAGAAACAAUAAAAAUGAA